rnacentral:tRNA from 1 species
GUUUUAAUAGUUUAUAUAAAACAGUGAUUUUGUAAAUCACAAAUAGGUAAAUUUACCUUUAAAACU